UAAAAUUGAAAGAUUUGUCUCCCUUUUCCUCCUUCCAGACUGAAGUUGAUCCCUGCCGAUGUCUCCAGUGUCACUCUGCAAACUGAAGCAUCAACUGCUGAGGCAAGCAACAGUAGUUUGUGUCAUGGAAUUGUCUUCUUCUCCUGGCCCUGGACCCUAUGGAUAUCAAGACCAGCGACAUAAUUUGUGUGACCCAGUGCAAAACGAAAAUGUGGGGCUAUUUGUUCAAAAACCAGGAAUAAAGUGCCAUUAAAGAGCGCAGGGGGUUGCAGGCCGGAUAACAGAAACCCAGCCCUGCCCACUGGGUGAAGCUGCAGCUCUCCCACACAGCGAUCUGCAAAUCGAGAGCGUGAGAAACCUGCAAGUGGAGAGAGGAGCCAGAAGUAAUGCCUUCGAAAAUGGAACGGAUGCCUUCUCCUGAAAGAAAACAUUUGUGGAAGUAUUCAGUUAUGAUCACAAACUACUUCUUGUGAAUUAUCUGUGAUGACUACAUUGAUUUCCCCUGAAGAUUUAUACAGCCAGGAUGUUUGAAAGCUUGGACAUCAUCUCCUCUGACAUAAACAAUUUUCUGUGAAACCUUUCCAUGUUAACUUGUAGUACCUGAUUCUCAAGCCUGAUAUACAAUUAAUGUAUUCUCUUCUCCCACAAAAUGUGUUUGUCGCUGUUUUGCUGUUAUCCUCAAAGUAUACACUUUCUUCUCCUAACCGUGGGCCCCAAAUCCCACACAAUGAGGGCGAACCACAGAGUAGCAGAGAGAAAAGAACAUUGCUUUUCUUACAUGAAGACUUUUCAUCCAAUUCCACCUCUCUGUUCUGUGGAUACUAUUUGGUGUUGGGGAAAUAGUAGCAUUCACAAUUUGGUCUUCUAGAUUUAAUUUAUACUACUUCAAUUGGUGCCUUAAAAAAAAAGCACCUCAAAAAAGCAAAAUGGGGUGCCCUAAAUGCUGGGUUUUCUCCGCCUUUGGUCCAAGGGGUACCCAAGGCUCAGUGUAUAUUCAUCAUCACCAAAAUAUUGCCUUGUAGAUAUUUUUGAGAGCCAGAGAUGAGUUUAUAAUGUUUUACAGGCCUGGUUUGGAGCUCUACGUCCUUUUCCUUUUUGGUAGUCAACUUGUUAUAUCUGUGAUAAAAACAGUCACUGUGUGUGCCUAAGUACAUUCAGAACCAGAAACCAACAAAAAAAUCAAGAUUCCAAUAACUCAGGAGAACCUACCAGAUUCUGACCAUCUGACAGUCUCAUCUCGACACCUACCAGUCUUCACUGAUCAGAAAGGUGAUCAGAGCCCUGAGCUCUUGAUUUUAUCACAAAGCGUUUUUUCUUUGUGGGUACCUUGGAUCUGGAGAUAGAGCAUCGGGCGAUCAGAUAAAGCCAUGUGGAGGGCUGAAAGUUUGCUGGAAUGAUGCUUGGGGCACAGUUUAUGCUGUUGGAGCAUUUCCUGUGUGCACUUUGAAACCUCUGAACUCAGUUCUUCAAAGUGAGAGCUACCUUAUUCUGUCUUUCCGCUGAACAAUGCAUCUGCCACUUAUCAUCUUGGUUUUUUUUUUUGGCCACCUCCACCCUAAUUGACUUAGCUAACAUUGAUUUAUCAAAGCAAAAGCGUGGCCCUGACUGAGUCAUAAGUCACACUUUUACCUGACAUUAUCUGAACCUUUGGAAAUGAAACAUGCAAAUAAUGGACGUUUUGUGCACGGGUCUACACACACGCACAUAUAUGUGUCUUUCUGUUUGCUUCAUUCAUCAUGUUCUCUAUACUCCCACUGUUUUUCUCCAUACUCCCACUGUUCUUCUCCCCCCUCGCACCCCUUCUCACCCAUAGUAGUUUAGGAGAGAGUUAUGUUUUCUCAUGAGCCAAAAGGUCAUUUUUCAAGUUGAGCCCUGUUAACCUCAGUGACAAAUGCUUGUUUUUCAGAAGUUUCCUCUUUGCAAAACUCUGUUUUUAGGACAGAAAAUUUAUUUCGCUUUAGAGAGCCAGUGUGGUAAGAGGAAACUGAAGCUGGUCUCUGGGUGUGUGUUUGUGCUAAUUUGCUGUACAGUCAAAUGUGGAUAUAGGUCAAUAAAAGCUGUUCUUUGAUCUAUUGCUGCAAAAGAUUCAUUGUAAAUACAUUACUGGAUAUGAGGGUUAUGGCUGUGUAACUGCCCCUUGCAAACAGUGCCGUGCCCUGUGCCAUCCUUUAGCAUGUACAAGAAGUGAGACAUCUGGCUUCAACCUGCCUGGGUUUUUUUUUUUUUUAUUGAGGUAAAAAACAUAACAAAAUUUACCAUCUUAACCAUCUUUUUUUUUAAUAUUUAACAAAUUUAAUUUUUUUAACAUUAUUUUGGUUCCAAAAAUACCUGGCAUGGUGGUUAAAUAUAACAGCUGUUGCAUCUUAACCAUUUUUAAGUGUACCUUACAGCGGUGUUAAGUACAGCCUCCCUGGGUUUUACUUUGCUGAUUUAUUUAUUUUUUGAUUUAUUUAUUUUUAAUGGGUAGCCACGAUAUCAUUUCAUUUCUGGGUAUCCCCAUAAAAGGAUAGCAUUCGGGCAGAGAAAUAACCUUAAAAUAACAAUAACAGCAACAAACACUUAGCAACAAGAAGUGAAUAAAACGAAACAAGGCCAAUAUUCCUACAGCUAACUCUUUUGAGUUAAUACCUGUUAUUAUUAUGUGUCUAGCACUGGCCAAGGCAUUGUAAAGAAUGCAAUGAGAUAUGAUCAGUGACCUCAAGAGGUUUACCCUCCUCUUAUGGGAUGCAGGUAUCAGAGUAAAUCACGUUCACUAAAAUAGGAAUCAAGGCUUCAGCCAUAUCUCCCUUACUCAGUGAUUGUAUAUGGAGACACAUUUCCUUUUACCCAUAAAUGCAUAGUCUGUGUAAUUAAGUAGCGAAGCAGAGCAGCCAGUUGAAAAGGUCAUUGUUUGAAGUCAUAGGCCCUAUCUAGGUGUGACAAGCAACCCAUGGUGGCAGGGGAUUUGGAACCAACCUCUGCUGAGGGCUGGUUGGGCCAGCGUGGCCCACAGGAAUCUCAGUGGGAGAACAGGGAAAAGGCUUUGUGAGAUUGAUGCGAUCUUGACUGUGAAUUUCAGGUUUCCAUGGUCAGCCUCUAAGCCUUUCUCCUCUUACCUGCCUUGUGAGACUGGAGGGCAAACUGGGUUCGAAAACCAAAAGAUACAACCUCUUCCCCCCAGAUUGCUUGAUUGUCAAAGACAAAUAAACAUUCCCCUCCUUCCCUUCCUUCCUUCCUUCCUUCCUUCCUCCCUCCCUCCUUCCCAUAUUUGGAGAUAUGUCUGGGUGUGGGAUGAGCCGUUGGGAAGAGGUGGAUCGUGAAAUCCCUAACACAAAGCUGGUGUGUGUUCCAUGGAUAAAGACCCCACCUCUCAGAUCUCAUUUAGACGACAUCCCUGCAAUGUUUACACUGCUUGCUGUCAUAGUCAGCCUUCAAAUACUUGGCUUCACUUAAGCCAAGUUGAUCCUCUAACAAGUGAUAAUUCAUACGAAAGCAUUUGUAAUGUCUAAUGUGCUAAGAAAAUAUGAAUGGUAUGGUUUCAGUUUUUAUAUUAUUAAAAUCAACCUUUAAAUGUCA